CCUACGGGUGGCAGCAGUGGGGAAUAUUGGACAAUGGGCGAAAGCCUGAUCCAGCCAUGCCGCGUGUGUGAAGAAGGCCUUCGGGUUGUAAAGCACUUUCAGUGGGGAAGAAAGCCUUGGGGCUAAUACCCUCGAGGAAGGACAUCACCCACAGAAGAAGCACCGGCUAACUCCGUGCCAGCAGCCGCGGUAAUACGGAGGGUGCGAGCGUUAAUCGGAAUUACUGGGCGUAAAGCGCGCGUAGGCGGUCUGAUAAGCCGGUUGUGAAAGCCCCGGGCUCAACCUGGGAACGGCAUCCGGAACUGUCAGGCUAGAGUGCAGGAGAGGAAGGUAGAAUUCCCGGUGUAGCGAUGAAAUGCGUAGAGAUCGGGAGGAAUACCAGUGGCGAAGGCGGCCUUCUGGACUGACACUGACGCUGAGGUGCGAAAGCGUGGGUAGCAAACAGGAUUAGAUACCCGGGUAGUC
rnacentral:rRNA from 1 species